CCCAGUGGCGGACGGGUGAGUGACGCGUGGGUAACCUGCCCUGUACAGGGGGACAACAGCCGGAAACGGCUGCUAAUACCGCAUAAGCCCGCGGCGCCGCAUGGCGCUGCGGGGAAAACUCCGGUGGUACAGGAUGGGCCCGCGUCUGAUUAGCUAGUUGGCGGGGUAACGGCCCACCAAGGCAGCGAUCAGUAGCCGGCUUGAGAGAGUGGACGGCCACAUUGGGACUGAGACACGGCCCAGACUCCUACGGGAGGCAGCAG
rnacentral:rRNA from 1 species